rnacentral:rRNA from 1 species
AACGAACGCUGGCGGCAUGCCUAACACAUGCAAGUCGAACGAGAUCUUCGGGUCUAGUGGCGCACGGGUGCGUAACGCGUGGGAAUCUGCCCUUUGGUUCGGAAUAACAGUUGGAAACGACUGCUAAUACCGGAUGAUGACGAAAGUCCAAAGAUUUAUCGCCAGAGGAUGAGCCCGCGUAGGAUUAGCUAGUUGGUGUGGUAAAGGCGCACCAAGGCGACGAUCCUUAGCUGGUCUGAGAGGAUGAUCAGCCACACUGGGACUGAGACACGGCCCAGCCUGCUACGGGAGGCAGCAGUGGGGAAUAUUGGACAAUGGGCGAAAGCCUGAUCCAGCAAUGCCGCGUGAGUGAUGAAGGCCUUAGGGUUGUAAAGCUCUUGUACCCGGGAUGAUAAUGACAGUACCGGGAGAAUAAGCUCCGGCUAACUCCGUGCCAGCCGCCGCAGUAA